AACUUGCUGAUAGGAUCUUUGUUAUACCCAUCCCCCUACAUUAGAGCCAUGAUUUGAGGGCGUAAGGCCGGUCAUGCUGCUUCAAUACCCCUACUAGAGAUCUUGUUGCGACGUACAGACCUGUUCCUGAGUGGAGGAUCAAUGCUGCUUGGAUCUAGUCAGUAGCGGCCCAUCUCAGGGUCAGACUUUUCUUUUGAAAGAUUGCCUA
rnacentral:lncRNA from 1 species